UACGUAGGUGGCGAGCGUUAUCCGGAAUUACUAGGCGUAAAGGGCAGGCAGGCGGAUCCAUAAGUUUAUCGUUUAAGGCGUCGGCUUAACCGGCGUAGGGCGGUAGAUACUGUGGAUCUGGAAUGCGGUUGGGGAAGACAGAAUUCCUGGUGUAGCGGUGGAAUGCGCAGAGAUCAGGAGGAAUACCGAAGGCGAAGGCAGUCUUCCAAGCCGUUAUUGACGCUCAACUGCGAAGGUGUGGGUAUCAAACAGGAUUAGAUACCCUGGUAGUCCCU
rnacentral:rRNA from 1 species